UUCUCUCAUGUUUACAAACUCGUGACUGACCCCGCUGUGCUUCACACAGCUGCUCAGUGAACACCAGUGUGUGCGUGUGUAAAGGUGUUGUUGUGUGAUCAACAGCACCACAGUCGCUGCGUUUCACCUUGAGUAGCAGCUGGUACUUCAUGAUCCUCUGGACAGGUUUGAUGAGCAGGUCGUUGAGCUGCAGCCUGUGGCCCAGCUGCUGCCGCAUCUCCUGGCAGAGCGGACAGACAACAACAACAAACGUUAUCCUCACCGUAACCAGAGCCUUCCUCAGAGGCAGCUGAUAUUAGAGUGAACCUAGCAACAGGCUGCACGGCUCAGUAACCUGGAGACGGCCGACGACUCCACCUGAACAUGGACGUCAUGUAACACUGCAGACCAGGCUGUGUGCUGUGUAUCUGUCCACCAGCCAUCUGCAUGUGUAUACGUCUGCAGGUCUGUCCAUGUGUAUGUGUGAACACCAACCCUUCCUGUGUCCUUUUGUCCCAGUCAAGCAGAACAUCUCCACCUUAAACACACAGACAAACCAGCUCACCUACCACAGACCUAACUCUACAAACUGCCAUGGCAGGCUGCUGCUGCCCACUGGAGAAAUAAACAGACGCACGUCUGGAUAAAGGUAAAUGGAAAGCAGAACAGAACUCUCUGUUUUUCUUCUCGGUCCAUAUGUUCACUUGUCUUUUCUCAGAUGUACUCCACGGCACCUGCAGGCUGUGAGGGGGUGGGAGGGUGAGGGUCAUCUCACAAAUGUUACAAAAAUGCACUGAGGAGACACCGGGGUGAAGACAGAGACAGUGAGGCUCCACAAAGACCCUACCCACCCAAGCCCCCCUGCUCAUCUUGCCCUGCGAGGAGAGCUCCAGCCUGGCUGACAGGUCUCCCUGGCUCCCUGAUCAUUUCCAGAUGUGCAGUGGCAAAACCCACAGGAAAAUAUUCUCCACUUCUUCCUCUGUACUUGGUUUUAAUUCUACCAAGGAGCUCACAAAAAACAACAACCUCCAAACACCUUGGAUCACAAUCAUUCUCCAAAACAGUUUUCACAUUUUAUUACCUUUAAUAUUAAAAUUAUUAAAAGACAUAAAGUGGACUAAAACACACCUCUGACCAAGAACAAACAAACAAAGAUAUUUAGAUCUACACUAAACUAGAGCUAAAACUUCAUGGACCAGUCAAAAGACUAUGUGUAGAAGUAUUCUAUUUUGAAAAACUUACUUAA